rnacentral:rRNA from 1 species
UACGUAGGAUGCAAGCGUUGUUCGGAAUUACUGGGCGUAAAGAGUACGUAGGCGGUAUGGUAAGUCUGACAUUAAAGACUGAGGCUUAACCUCAGGGAUGUAUCGGAAACUGCCAAACUAGAGGACAAUAGAGGAAGUCGGAAUUCUCAGUGUAGCGGUGAAAUGCGUAGAUAUCAAGAGGAACACCUGAGGUGAAGACGGGUUGCUGGGCUGACACUGACGCUGAGGCGCGAAAGCUAGGGUAGCAAACGGG